CUCCCACCUCUGAUGCUCGCCUUCAAGAUUUCUUGAGGGCUGCACCGGUCCUGUGGAACUCGCUUCCCUCCUCCGUUAGAUGCUCACCCAGUCUCCACUCCUUCAAAAAAUCGUUAAAAACCCACUUCUUCAUAAAACCAUAUCAAUUAAACUGGUAAUAGCUCCCGACUGAUUCCUCUUCUGCAACUGUCACUAGUCUAAUACUAUCCUUACCUUUUUGUGUCAUUUUACCCCACUCCCUCUAGCAGGUAAGCUCAUUGAGCAGGGCCAUCAAGCCCUCUGUUCCUGUGUGUCCAACUUGUCUGGUUACAACUACAUGUCUGUUCGUCCACCCAUUGUAAAGCGCUGCUGAAUUUGAUGG